rnacentral:lncRNA from 1 species
UUGGAGACGACACUCAGAAACUUUUCCUGUUUAACCACAGGAGAUAGUAUUAUGGUGGCUUACAACAAUAAAAAAUAUUAUAUAGACAUUGUGGAGACCAAACCUUCUAAUGCAAUAAGUAUUAUUGAGACAGACUGUGAAGUAGACUUUGCUCCCCCACUUGAUUACAAAGAACCUGAAAGAGUGGCUCCUCCUCAUCCAAGCAAGGCUUUAGCAGCAGGUGCAUAUUCUUCAAAUUUGCUGAAAUUAAUUCUCAUUCUUCACUUUUUGUUCAUAUGUUUCUUCCUGUAGAUUACUGCAGAGCUUGCUAUAUCUUAACUUAUUUCUGUAGCUUAAUUAUUAUUUGCUCAUGCAGUUGAAGAGGCUGCAGCUGAAGUUGAGCCAAAGUUCAACCCUUUUACUGGUGAAGCAAGACGUUUGGAUGGGAAACCGUUAAAACAACAACCUCCACCUUCUUCCUCUUCUGGGUCCUCAGACAAGCAUGUCAAUAGUACUAAUGGUAAUAAGAAGCCUGCUGCAGCUCCAAACUCCCAAAUCUCUAGUCGUCAGUCACAAGGGAAGCUUGUAUUUGGCUCAAGUGCAAACCGCGCACCUGAGAAACAAAAGGUUUUAUAUCUCUUCCUUUGGCAGACUCUUAAGAAUCCUUCAAAAAAAUCUAUUCAUAUCCAUUUGGUAUUUUCAAGUACCUUGCUAGACUGAGUCUCAGCUGGUAAUAUUCUUGUCAAUAUGCAGGAACCUGUGAAAGAGGAACCUCAAAAGAAAGAAGAACCCAAGUUUCAGGCUUUCUCCGGGAAAAAGUACUCCUUGAGGGGCUAAUUGUAUAUUAACCUUUUCUUUUGUCAGUCAAAUAUCUGAAUUAUGUUAAACUUAUUGUGUAAAUCCAUACAAAUCAGGUUUCAUUGACUUGAAAAUGGAAUGUACUCCUAUUCAGGAGAGUGAUCUUGAAAAUGGCUGGCCAGCCGGCGGGCGCAGGCUCUUUUAUAAAGCAUUGUUUGUUUGAUUACUCUAGUAUAGUGGUCUUUUAUUUGGCCCUCCAAAUUUGUGGUUUUUAAUUUUUGUCAAUGCUUUUCAUUUAAUUAAAAUUUGUGCACUCUAGUAUCCUUAUUGAUCUAAUUUUCCUCAGCAUAAGUUUAUGGAAUUUUUGUCUUGUCCGACACAAUUUGAGUGUUGUGAAAUUGAAUUUAUGCCUCUAUCAAAUUAAGUUCCGUAGGAAUUAAGUUAAGCUUUAUACAAUUGCUUGUGAGUUCUGCAUUGAAGGGGCAUAAGUUUGAUAGGAAUUAAGCGGCAUAACAUUAUGCCAAAGCACAAUUUGUGUUAUUAUAUGAUACAAAACUGUUAAGUAUAUCUUAAAGUGAUUCUCCUUUUAUAGGAAUUUAGCGGCAUAACGUCAUGCCAAACAAUAAUUUGUGUUACUAUUUUGUAUAUGUCUGUGUUUUUUUUUUAAUUUUAUUUUUUAUGUUGAGACUAUUUUGGGCUAUUUUUUUUUUGGGGAAAAUAACACUUGUAAUCUAAAAAGGAAAAAUUAUUUACAAGCGACCAUAACUUUACUUACAUACCCCAUCUUUUUAAAUAUUCUCGAGCGUAUAUUUUGAUGGUAUAAAAGAGCAAGAAAUCGUUUGAUAUUAUCAGAGUAUAUGGAUACCAUCAGAGUUUAGAGUUUCCACUAAAUAAGGCUGUGACUUCAAUAAAAAUAAAUAAAUUCUAUUUUAAUAAUUUUCUCUUAAUUGUUUCUUAUUUAUCUUUUUGAAAGAGAGCCAAGACCUUUAUUAUACUGCUAUGGUAACCAACAGAGUCUUAACUGUUUCAUAUUUAUUUUUUUAAAAGAAAGCCCAAUCCUGUAUGAUACUUGAGAAUCAACACAUAAAUGGAGUGUCAUAGGAUUAAACUCAAUUUUAUAUAAUACCAUACUAUGGGCGGAGUACAACAACAUAGAGAUGCUAAUGUCAUUGUUGAUGUUAUGAGCGAAAUAAAAAAAAAUAGGAUAAAUGGAUAAAUAAAAUAGUUUAAAUUGCGCCUAUUUUUGAUAAAUAAUCUUGCAAUUAGGUCUAUUUUAUGUAAUUUUUUCCUUCUUUGUGUGGUGUGCUUUAUGAAUCAAAUUUAUUUAGUUGGCCCAUGCCCAAAUUCCUCUUAUUGGGCCGGCUCAAAUAAAUAGACCCAUACCCGGAAGGCGUCUCCCAUCAGCAUCAGAUUCUUGCUCUUUUCCUCCUCUUUCUACACGAACUCUUCACAUUCUCUUUCUCGGAAGGAGUCAAAUCUGUAUGUUUCUCUUUCUUUUUCCGUCAUAAUUCACCCUUUUGUCCUGUAUGAUUCUAAUUGGACGAUGAACCUUUAGUCUUCUUGCGAUUAUACUUGUUGGUGAAACACGAAUUUUAGUGAAUUGGAUGAGUUCUAGUGUAAUAUCACAGUUUUAUGCAAUUUUUACGAAUUGAUAAAUUUUCUUAUUUUUGCGAUGAAGGUUUGAACUUGUUAUUAUGUGCUCGAUUUUCUGAAAUAGUACUAAAUUAUUGAAAAUAGACUGUAUUUUUAAUAAUAUCAUCUUUUUUGAUUACCGUUGUUUUAUAGGUUAGCUGAGACAGUUGAGUUCGGGGUACACAGAGAUAGAAAUCAUGGUAAAUUUUCUGUUCUCUGUGGUUAAUAUGUGCAGCAAUACUGUUAUUGAUUCUCGACAUAUACUCCCAUGGUUGUAUUGAUGUUUAUUUCAGUAUAUCUUAGGAACACUAAUUUGUGAAUGGAAAGGGAAGCGGUAAUUAGCUAGGGAUAGGGCCAGGCCAUAUUGGAUAUAGUGGAAGUUAUGUUUCUUAUUAAAUUAUGCAGAAGUUGUGCCUCUCUGCUAGAGGCUUGUUUUAAGGAUAUCAUCUAAUCAUUUGUUCUCUUGAAUAACAGAUGGAAAUAUAUGAUUAUUAUAGUUAUACUUACGGGUUUCUUAAUUUAAUACGAGCUGAAGAUCUAAGUGCUAGCAGUGGAACUGAAUUUGUGAAUAGAAUGUCCAUCUGUAGGGGCUAACUUCCUUCUUUUGGGAAAGAACCUGAAAAAAGAGGAGGACGUUGGUGUUAAUGGUAGUUAAUAGUCGAGAGUACAUUAAAUUACAAAAAGGUUUGUUUUCAGUUCUCAAAAUGGCAUGGACAACGGUUUCUGAGAGUCAGCAGUUGUAUAUUUGGUUCAUACAUUUGAAUAAAUAUCGAGAUUAUAGAUUCCCAUUGAUGUUAUUACCAAUAAUACACCAGGAUGCAGUAAAAAAAAAUGUAAUGGUGUGAAUUAGAUAUUUUGCUACCUACUAUAUUUCAUUCCUUGCUCUGUUGUUCUUCAAUUAUUCGACUGAGUUCAUCCUAAAGCAAUACAUUCCAUGGUAAGAAAAUGCAGACUGUUCACAUGAGAGAGAGAGUGAGAGAGCAAUAGAGUGAGCUGAUUAUCAGAAAGCUUGGUCAAUGAUUCAAAAGAUGCCUCUUGGAACAUCAUUUUGAAAUAGCUAAAAAGGUAGGGCGAAAUCCUAUGGCAUUUAGGUUUGCCUUUCAAAUAAUCAUCUACUUUGCUGGUGCACCCAAAAUGGCUACAAAGUAAAGGCCUUGUUUCAAGAUUUGCUAGCCCAUACCCUGUCUCCAAAGACACCUUGUAGACCUGCAAUAGAAGAAAAGUUUUGUUUUCAUAAACAUACUAUUCAGAGUGCACAACCUUUAAUUGGAACUGACUAAAUGACUUGCUUUUCCAUUAGCUACCCUAAACACAGCCAAUCAUUGAAUACAUCUACCUUCAAAGGAGCAUUUUCUUUGUUGAAUGCAGUGUUAAUUUAUUUCUGUUUCCUAACCUUUACAAAACUAUCAUUGACUCUAUUGAUAUAUAUCUAUAUCAUAAGUGUUAAUCUUCAUUUCUAUUUUUCAUUAUUGUACUUUUUGAUUUGUGAUCUGCAGUUUUUUGAUGGAUAUGGAUAUCAUGGAAGAUCAUUUGAGCAGACAUACCGGUGUUAUCCUGCAUCAUUCAUUGAUAAGGUUAGAAUGGUUUUGAAAGGACAAAUUUUGUUUAAUACUCUAAUCUACUGUAUUAAUCACGGUUUUUUGCUUAGCUCAUCUUCUUCUUUUCAUUCUUCUAAUAUAUGUGUAUGAUUUAUUUUGAGGUAACUUGCUAGAAGAGCUUUUACAGCUUUCUGCAGGUUGCAUCAUGUGCAUUUGUUGUUAAAGACAAGGGGGUUGGGUCGGUGAGGGCAUGGAUAUUCUUUUAUUGAGGGAAGGGGGAGGAAUUUAACUGUUUAAUAGUUCUUCUUGGUAUAGUUGUAUGUUGAAAGAAGUCUUCUUUUUGACCUAUAUGCAGAUUAUAUGUGGUGGGAGAUGGGUCUUAUAUGUGUAUUAAACAUGUAUUUCAGAUGUUUGUCCCACGUAUCACUUCUACCACUGCAAAAUUAUGCCAUUUAUUCUCUUACUUUUUCUUUAAUUCUGAUUAUGUGUGUUUCAUACUUUGCAGCCACAAAUAGAAAAUGGAGACAAAAGUAAGUAUUGCCAAUAGUUCUUUUUCAGAUCUGCAGUAGGUAUUCGAGCAUCAAGUCUUAAGUUGUUUUUCCUUUAUUUUUUCCAGUUAUAAUGCCUCCAUCUGCUCUUGAUCGUCUAGGUCAGUAUCCUUGUUCUGUAUCUUGGCAUCUUCAGUUACUUAGAUUUUGCAUCUUUAUCAGUUGGCAGCUGGUUCUUUUCUUAACUGUAUUCAACAUUGAAUGUAAAUUUUGUAGCAUCACUUCACAUUGAUUACCCAAUGCUGUUUGAGCUUCGAAAUACUUCCUCGGAAAGGGUUUCACACUGUGGGGUUUUGGAGUUCAUUGCAGAAGAGGGCAUGAUAUAUAUGCCAUAUUGGGUACAUUUCUUUUCUUUGUAAUUCUAUUUUCUUGAGUUCAUUUCAACUGCUGUGCAUAAACUCAUUUCAAUGUGGACCUUGUAGAUGAUGGAAAAUUUAUGCCUACAAGAAGGUGAUAUUGUGACAGUGAAAAAUGUAACUCUUCCUAAGGGUAAAUAUGUCAAGCUGCAACCCCACACGAAAGAUUUUCUGGAUAUUUCUAACCCGAAGGCCAUGUGAGUAUGCUGAAGCUUUUUUUUUUUAAAUAACUUUUGUGGCUCAGUUCCGUUUUAUGCUAGUGUUUAUGGAGUCCAAUUGUUUCUGCAUAAUUUCUAGAAUUUACGGCACACUCAAGGAAAAUCAGCAAGACAAAAGAAUUGCUCCAGCUGUCCCAAUUCACACUCUUUUUUUGGGGCAUGAUUGUUGAGUUAAAGAAUUGAAACUUUUGUAAAAAUGAAGUCCAAGGCUGUAGAUGAAUUAAACUUUUUGGAAUUAGUUACUUCUUCAAUGUAUAAAAGGAUGACCCACAACAUAUUCUAAUGUCAAAAGAAAUUGAAAAUGUAUCAAAUUUUGUAGGUAACAAGUUUACCUGACAGGUUUGGGAAAGAACAUACGAAGUAGGAGAAUAAUUUGGAAACAUUUAUAGGAGAUAAUAUGGCCAUCAAAAUAGGAGAGCUGAGUGUGGUAAAAAAUUGGAGGAUGCAUCAGUCUGUGUUCUUGAGUUAAAGAGGAGUUUGAGGACAAUUUUGUGUUUGAACAUAUAGGUGGAAUCACUUGCUAAUUCACUGGAAUUGACACUUGGUUGUUGUAUAUAGAUAAUUAGUAAACAUUAGAGUUUGACCAGUCUAACGCCAAAAUGCACUAGUAUUGUUCUUAAUGAGUUAAAAUCUGACUUAAUUUUAAAGUGAAAUUGCUUCAGCAAAAUGAUGUAUAAGAACCUUCAUGGAGCAAUAUCACCUCUUUGUUGCAGGAUUGACUUUUUUUGAGAUGAUUUAUGAGUUAAAGUUUCCUUUGGAAAAAGAGAAACAGUAUGUUAUCCAGGAUUGAAGUUCUUUUGUCUGACAUCUAUUUAAUUAUGGGAAAAGGGCCUAGGGGAGGAGAUACGGAUCCAUGCAGUGAGUCUUCUUAGGUGCAAAUACUUCCCGAAUUAGUUUUUCUUGUUAUUCUUUUAAAUUGAGAAAAUUAUAGUCCAAUGUAGUGGUUGAAAUAUUUGCUUCUAUGGGUAGAGGUGGAUUGAAAUGACAUUGUAUCGAGGAAUAAACAUGAUCAUAUAAUUAGUUCCUGCUGUGUUCCAUUUAUGAAUAGCGCCGGGUUGGCUCCUUGAUGACCUAAUUUAUAGUGUUACACCUAUUCUAUAAUUGCUAUAUUUUGUAUGACAAUUCCUGCUUAAACACUAAGCAUAGAUAAGUGAGAUGAUUGACAAGUGCAAUUUAUUUUCAUUUUUUAUUUGAAUUAGGAGAAUUGCAUCUGCUAAUUGGCCUAACCAAUAUUUUUUGGUUUAGUUGCUUAUUAAUUUGCUCUGAUUUGCAAAAAACUCACAUUCCAAUGGACGCUUUGUAGUCUGACUUCUUUCCUUUACUGAUGCAGCUUGGAGACGACCCUCAGAAACUUUUCUUGCUUAACCACAGGAGAUAGUAUUAUGGUGGCUUACAACAAGAAAAAAUAUUAUAUAGACAUUGUGGAGACCAAACCUUCUAAUGGAAUAAGUAUUAUUGAGACAGACUGUGAAGUAGACUUUGCUCCCCCACUUGAUUACAAAGAACCUGAAAGAGUGGUUCCUCCUCGUCCAAGCAACGCUCCAGCAGAAG